AACCAAGCUUUCGCAGGUGUCUUUACAAGCCAAAUUCGAUCAGAAGAAUCCCAGCGAGAGAGACAGUGCGAAGAUGAAGAUCGUGAUGAAGGUAGAGAUGAAUUGCGGGAAGUGCAGGACCAAGGCAUUGCAGAUCGCUACUCAAGCAGAUGGUGCGGAAUUCGUGGGGUUCGACGAGAAGCGUCAGGACGAACUGGUCGUGACAGGGAAAGGAGUUGAUGCUGUGAAGAUUGUGGGAGCAUUGAGGAAGAAGGUUGG